UUUCAUGGAAGAAGAUCGUAUCUCACAUGGAAGCUUGGGAUUGGGAUUGAUGACCAACCAUACCCACCCAACCUCCAUGGACUUGUGUGUAUAUAUAUAUUUAUAAUUUUUGUGUAAAACCCAUCUUGCGCUUGUGUUAGGGUACUAGAAAUCCAGAUUAUGAGAAUGAAGAAUAGUGGGAAGAGUACACCAAUUUCUUUACGGGACUAUACGGAAAGAGAUUCGAAGAGGGUGGCGGUGGUCGAGAUGGAUGGAGAGAGCAACGGGUCGUGGACAACGGAAGAGGUAGAGUCACCGAGAUCGGUGGCGGGGAGAGGCGGCGGCGGUGGGAAGAACAUGAUACAUAGCCAAAUUCUGAGAAUAAUUGCUGAGGAUUCUCAUAUUGGAGAGGAUGUUGGCGAGGGCCACCAUUUCUCACAUAUAAUUGUUUUUUCAAGGCCCGUAUCGCCUCUUAGUGGCCGCACAAUUGCCAAUUGAAAUCAAUCGAGGAGGAUAUUUAUCGCUGUGGGCAAGAUGGACGAAAUUUUGGUGGAUCGAUCGUUGAUCAUAAUUCUUAAUGGAGAUUGGUUGAUGCUGGCUGGUGUACAGUUAGGAAGUAUUGACUCGAUCUCACUGGAUAAAUAUACUAAGAAAUAAAAUAAUAAUAUCAAGUCUAUGUAUGUAUAUGUAUAUAUGUGAUGAAACGUGUAUUGGGAUGUAUGAUCUUGACUUGAUGUCCCAUAAUGAGCUUCACACCUUCACUGUUCUUGGAGAGUACAAAACAGGAUGCAUUUGGUACAACUGAAUAAGAACGAAAUUAAAUUGAGUUGUA